rnacentral:misc_RNA from 1 species
CCAAUCUCUAGUGGGACUCGUAAGUGGGUCUCGCGAAACCUCUGUAUUUAAAAACCCAACUCAUGAUUAAAAAAUACAUACACGUUAUAUGUAAAUAAAGA